rnacentral:rRNA from 1 species
GUCGAGCGAACGGACGAGAGUGCUUGCACUCUCUGAUGUUAGCGGCGGACGGGUGAGUAACACGUGGGUAACCUACCUAUAAGACUGGGAUAACUUCGGGAAACCGGAGCUAAUACCGGAUAAUAUUUAGCUUCGCAUGAAGCAAUAGUGAAAGACGGUUCUGCUGUCACUUAUAGAUGGACCCGCGGUGUAUUAGCUAGUUGGUGAGGUAACGGCUCACCAAGGCAACGAUACAUAGCCGACCUGAGAGGGUGAUCGGCCACACUGGGACUGAGACACGGCCCAGACUCCUACGGGAGGCAGCAG